GUCUGACAAAAAAAACGUCAAGCAAAUAAGGUGUUGGCAUGUGGUAUUAUAAGUAUGGUAUGGGAGAGACAACGUGCUUUCAUUCCUUACCACAAGCAUAUUAAAUCACAUAAAUACACACACUUCCUUUAGAUAAUAUAGCAAUCUGGUCAGAUCAGAAACUAACGGUGAAAGCAAUGAGGGGUAGAAUGGAAGCGCCAUUUCUGCAGCGUAUGCAUCACGAAAGAGUCGUCGAACAUGUCAAACAACGACACCAGGAUAAAGGCUGCUGCUAUGCUUGUUUGUUCGCACUAUGUUGCUGCUGCUGCUGUUAUGAAACCUGCGAAUGCUGUCUGGACAUCCUUUGCUGCAGAUGUUGUUCCUAGCUUCCUAGCUAACUCAGAUCCAUCUCAUCUUCUCCGGAUCGGAUCCACUACGUCUUAAUUAUGGUUUUCUCAAAAUAAAUAAAUAUAUUAAGGUGUUGACUUGGUGGAUAUGUAUGAGUAUGUGUAUGUGCUUUAAUUUUAGUAUGUUUUCAUUUGGUAGCAGAAAAAUAAAAACAAAACUCCCAAUCACUAUCCAAGUACCUAUAUAUAUUGAGUGUUUGCACUAGAUAAAUUAUGACUCCUAUGUAGUUGCCUACAAUACCUGUUUCGUAUGUUUGAUUUGCAUGCUGUUUGUGCGUGCUUUAAUAAGAAGUGUGCUCUUUAGUUGCAUUCAA